rnacentral:lncRNA from 1 species
AUGCUCCCAUGGAAUAACGUUGACUUCUCCACCAUCUCGGACUAUACUGGAUUUAUUAUUCGACGUGGAUUACUGCAUUUUCAGAAGUUUUCUUCUUUUCUGAUGAUUGAAGAACGACGAUGGACACGACAGUCGGAAGACGCUGUAGAGACCGGGAGGACCUUGUGUAAAUCACGGAGAGACGAAGACAGACCAGAGGAUCGUUGCCAGCUUUAAGGUUGUGCUUCAUGUCAACCCAAUGCAAGCCAUACCCA